rnacentral:sRNA from 1 species
CGGAGAUGCCCCUCCAGACCCGGUGGAUGUAACCCUAGACAAGUCAUAUCUUCCCUGGUCUGAGGGCAUCUCCGCUUUCAUGUCCGGACCCUGGACCGGCUAUUGGCCGGUGGAUUCGG